rnacentral:rRNA from 1 species
AAUUUUGGACAAUGGGCGCAAGCCUGAUCCAGCCAUGCCGCGUGAGUGAAGAAGGCCUNCGGGAUNUNAAGCUCUUUCGGACGGANAGAAAUCGCGCAGGCUAAUACCCUGCGCGGAUGACGGUACCGUCAUAAGAAGCACCGGCUAACUACGUGCCAGCAGCCGCGGUAAUACGGAGGGUGCCAGCGUUAACCGGAAGUACUGGGCGUAAAAGGUGCGGCGGCGGUUGAUUAAGACAGGCGUGAAAUCCCCGGGCUUAACCUGGGAACUGCGCUUGUGACUGGUCAGCUAGAGUACGGCAGAGGGGGGUGGAAUUCCGCGUGUAGCAGUGAAAUGCGUAGAGAUGUGGAGGAACACCGAUGGCGAAGGCAGCCCCCUGGGCCGAUACUGACGCUCAUGCACGAAAGCGUGGGUAGCAAACAGG